rnacentral:rRNA from 1 species
AGUGAACGCUGGCGGCAGGCCUAAUACAUGCAAGUCGAACGGCAGCACGGCAGAGCUUGCUCUGUGGGUGGCGAGUGGCGGACGGGUGGGGAAUACAUGGGAAUCUGCCCAGUCGUGGGGGAUAACGUAGGGAAACUUACGCUAAUACCGCAUGCGCCCUUCGGGGGAAAGCCGGGGGACCUUCGGGCCUGGCGCGAUUGGAUGAGCCCAUGUCGGAUUAGCUAGUUGGCGGGGUAAUGGCCCACCAAGGCGACGAUCCGUAGCUGGUCUGAGAGGAUGAUCAGCCACACUGGAACUGAGACACGGUCCAGACUCCUACGGGAGGCAGCAGUAGGGAAUAUUGGACAAUGGGCGCAAGCCUGAUCCAGCCAUGCCGCGUGAGUGAAGAAGGCCCUCGGGUUGUAAAGCUCUUUUGUCCGGAAAGAAAAGCGCCGGGUUAAUACCCUGGUGUCCUGGCGGUACCGG